ensembl:lncRNA
CCUUGGCACAGCCAGAGCAAACACAGUCUGCACGCAAUGCCGGGUCUGUGGCACAAUGAUUAACCCGUAAAUGUGCUGUCAACCCGCUCCGUAGCCUGCGAAGCCCGCUGAGAGAAUUGGAGGGGCAGACGAGGUUAAUUUGUUUCACGCAUGGCUCGUUUUGCGUGUCAAGCCUAUCCAUAUCUUCUUUCACUAUGUGGUUGUAUAUCUGUCUUUGUACACGCGUUUCAUAUUUUCCUUUCUUUAUGACAUGUCCUCUUUAUUUUUUCGCUCCCCGUUUGAGUCAGCGUAAAAAAAGCGCAUGGCAGCUUCGUGCGUGACAGAAAGAUGGAUGACCGAGAUAUUUCCGCACGCAACUAUUGUUUUUCCCGGAGUAUUUUAGACCUGGAGCGAAUGCUUUUUUACUUCCUGUGGGGAGGCAAGUGGGAGAGGCUGAGGAGGGAGGUGGUCAAGAGGCCCAGGUCCAAGGGGGGGAAAGGCUUGCCUGACCUCUACUUGUUCCUGGGCAGCCGCUACACAGCGUUACAUCUGACUCUUGCCACCUCCCCGGUCAACAACAAGACUCAGGCCCUCGCAUGGUUCUGGCUGGGAUCUUACCUCAGGACUCUGAGGCUGAUCCCAGUCGACCUGCGAGCCCCAGUCUCUUUCCUGCUACCCCCGCCCUACUACCCCCGCUACCCCCGCUACCCCCGCCAGGGACCUGUGGAAGGAAGCAGGCCCCCUGAUCACCUCGUGUCUGCCAGCAGGGGAGGACCUAACACCUCAGCUCGUGCUGUAUGGGGUGGGCCGAAGGCCCAUUUCAUCGAAGACCUUCACCAAGCUCUGGCCCACCCUCACGUGCCUGAAGGAAGCACUGUGGUCCUCCCGUAACCUGCUGGUAGCGAAAAACGUAGAGACCACCCCCCAGGCAGUGGCCAUGGUAGCCACGGAAGCCCUGGGGUGGUACGAAAGGAAGGGGGCCUCGACCCCAGGCGAAGGGUCCCCCACAACACCCUAGGUCCCGGCGGCCACGGCCUGACAGCGCUGCGGCGCCUAGGGCGAUGCGCCUAGGGGAGGGAUCUCCUCUGGGCCCCGAAGGACGGGACGAUGAUCUAUUCAGAAGAGCAGGAUGAGGUGAGCUUGAUAACGACUCACCCCGCUCCUGUACAAGGGACUGAAGACAGCUUUUUAACAAAGUGGCUUUUUAACAUGUUUUUCAUGUCUUAAAAAUGUUUUACCUUUGUUGGAUCAUUAGUACACAUUUUAAAUGGCCUUACAGAUUUGAUGUUUUUACAAGGAAAGUACUUUUAUUAAUGGUUGUUUUCAUUGGUUUUAACAACAUGUACUUUUUAACAAAUUUAAAUGUAACUUUCAAAUGCUGUGUUUUAUGCUUUGUUGCCGUUUUUAUGUGUAUAAAUGAUGUAAAAAAUGUAUGAGCUUUUUAAAGGAAUUGUGCCAAUAAAACUUUUCCAAAAGAAAAAAAACUCUUGCAUGCAAGUGCCAUGCUAUACCAACUCAGCCACACGGCUGAUUUCCCACUGAUAAAUGCAUCACUCCCUGCACUUAAAAAGACUACACAUUCUUCCUUCUUAGGGUUUGGGCCAUCUUCAAGUCAAAAGAAAAGGCGGAGGCAAACCCUCUCAGAUGAUCGUCCCUAAAACCUAAAACAUCUGCAUAGUAGGAGAUGUCGUUAGCUUUUUCAGGGUAACAAGUACGGACGUCGUCGGACGGGGCCACAGUGUCUCCCGACCCCUCCUGUCUCAGCCUCCAUUAUUUAUGCUGCAGUAGUUUAUGUGUCGGGGGAUAGGGUCAGUCUGUUAUAUCUGGAGUAUUUCUCCUGUCUUACCCGGUGUCCUGUGUGAAUUUAAGUAUGCUCUCUCUAAUUCUUUCUUUCUUUCUCUCUCUCGGAGGACCUGAGCCCUAGGACCAUGCCUCAGGACUACCUGGCCUGAUGACUCCUUACUGUCCCCAUUCCACCUAGCCGUGCUGCUGCUCCAGUUUCAACUGUUCUGCCUGUGGCUAUGGAACCCUGACCUGUUCACCGGACGUGCUACCUGUCACAGACCUGCUGUUUUCAACUCUCUAGAGACAGCAGGAGCGGUAGAGAUACUCUGAAUGAUCGGCUUUGAAAAGCCAACUGACAUUUGCUCCUGAGCUGCUGACCCGUUGCACCCUCGACAACCACUGUGAUUAUUAUUAUUUGACCCUGCUGGUCAUCUAUGAACAUUUGAACGUCUUGGGCAUGUUCUGUUAUUAUCUCCACCUGAAACAGCCAGAUGAGGACUGGCCACCCCUCAUAGCCUGGUUUUGGCCUUUCUAGGCAGUUUUUCCUAGCCACCGUGCUUCUACACCUGCAUUGCUUGCUGUUUGUGGUUUUAUGCUGGGUUUCUGUACAGCACUUUGAGAUAUCAGCUGAUGUAAGAAGAGCUUUAUAAAUACAUUUGAAGUACUGCCCUAAUGGUUUACAGUACUCCAUAGAAUUGGUAAUAACAAGUGGUAAUAACACAGUAAUAACAUGGUAAUAAAACACAGUAAUAACACAGUAUAAACAGUAAGAACAUGUUAAUAAAUAAGUGUUGUGUGCUUUGGCAUUGCGUGUAUGAACAAUUGUGAUAUUGUCGCUCUCUCCUGACUGUUCAUGCAUGUUUUAUUUUCCUGAGAGUUCAAAGAAGACACUUCCAAUCCUCUGGUAGCACAGACUGUUCUGUCUGUUCUGUCAGACUAGAAUAAAAUACUGAGAGAUGAGUGCACCAAUCUGACCUGUCACCUGAGUGGUUAAUUGCUCUAACUACCAGUCUGUGUACAGGGGUUAGUUGACCUCCUCCAUAACAAACUCCUGCCCUCAUGCACACACAACAACACGCCCUCACACAGAUGCAAACCCACUCACGAAAAAUUCCCUCACACUCACAUACCUGGUUUGAAGGUGUGUGACAGGUGUUUGGUUAUUGCGUGCCAAAGGACUGAAGACUUCAGCUGCCUUUACAGUCAUUACUCAGAAAGGGAGAUGCUUCAAGGGAAUUUCAAUUUGCUGUGGGCUAAACAGUGUUUUGGUUAUGAUGUGAGCUCUGUAAAUGGACAUCCUGGAUGUAUGUGUGUGACCCUUACAUGACUAAAUAACAGACUACUUGAACAUUUCCUAUUGAUAUUUGUCACUUUAUUGUCCUCAAUUGCUGCCCUAUAUACAUAGACUUGGAAUCACUGGCCAGUUUAAUAAUAGAACAUUAGUCACUUUAAUAAUGUUUAAAUUAUGUUUACAUACUACUUUACUCAUCUCAUAUGUAUAUACUGUAUUAUAUUCUACUGUAUUUUAGUAAAUGCCACUCCAACAUGGCUUGGUCGAAUAUUUAUAUAUUUCUUAAUUCCAUUAUUUUACUUUUAGAUGUGUCUGUAUUGUUCUGAAUUGUUAGAUACUACUGCACUGUUGGAACUAGGAACACAAGCAUCUCGCUACAACCGCAAUAACAUAAAUAUGUGUAUGUGACCAAAAAUAUUUGAUUUGAAUGUAAUUCCAUGUAUGAACCUGCGAUGCAACUAGAGGUCAUACAAACUGUUGGAGGUCAUUGAGCAAGUCACUAAUGAUGAGCAGGGAGUGGCGUGUUAGACCAUAACCAUAUGAACAGAGGACCUGUAUGGAAUAAUGUCCCUCCCAUGGCCUCUCACGCUAUCGUCUCCCUCUCCUCUCACAAAGCUGUGCGUCUGCUUAGUGUGAUUAUAUACUUUAUGUUUAUGCUUAAUAAAUCAGCCUUUGACUGUGUCAUGCUGUACCAGU